rnacentral:rRNA from 1 species
CCCUUAGAUGUCCUGGGCCGCACGCGCGCUACACUGAUGCAUUCAACGAGUUUUACCUUGGCCGAGAGGCCUGGGCAAUCUUUUAAACCUGCAUCGUGAUAGGGAUAGAUUAUUGCAAUUAUUAAUCUUGAACGAGGAAUUCCUAGUAAACGCAAAUCAUCAAUUUGCAUUGAUUACGUCCCUGCCCUUUGUACACACCGCCCGUCGCACCUACCGAUUGAAUGAUCCGGUGAAAUCUCGGGAUUGUGGCCAGUUCACUUUAUUGGGAGUUGGCUGCGAGAACUUGCUUAAACCUUAUCAUUUAGAGGAAGGUGAAGUCGUAACA